CUCUCUCUCUCUAAAGCUUCUUCAAUGGCUUCGUCUUCGUUAUCAUCAUCAGAGGUAUCUGAAAGAAGGGGGGUAUCCCUGGAGCUUCAUUUAACACAAUCUGGUCUUGAUGUCACUUCUUCCUUAGCAAUUCGUUAAGAAAGGUCAACAUGGACAAAUGACCUAUCGAUCGAAAAGUGGUUUUGUGUGGUUAUAUAGUGAGGAAGCCCUUUUAUUUAUGGUGAGGAAGGCGGUCAUAACAUAGGUUUGCCAGAGAAUCAGAAGUUGUUUGUUAUAAAACAUCGGCAGAACAGGGAUACUCCAAUCUUUUGAUAAUGUUUUGGUGCUGACUGUUCCAUGGCUUCAACGUGUGUACUUCAAUGAUCUCUUUUGUGUAUCACUGAAUGGUUCAAGCAAUCUCAGAAUGAAUAGGUGAAAAUUCAGGUGAUACCAAAGAUUAUGGAGUCUCUCAGAAUAUCAUCGAGCUUGAAUAUCUUAGACAAGCUGGCAUGUUCUUCUACAAAUACAUCCCAAGCUAAAGCAGCGAGCAUCCAAAUCUCAGGCCAAGUAUUUUAAGCCAAUGCCUUCAAAGGAGACAAAGAGGGUUUGGAGGAAGGCGAAGAUUGUCACCCUUUCUUCUAGUUCUGUCACCUAGAUAAAUGCUGCCUUGUCGAGUCUCUUGAGCGUAAGAUUAGAACGACGGCGUUACACCCAAGAAACUUUUGGACAGAACAUAGUAUGAAGAAAGAGCAUCUGAAUAAAUGAUGGUGAGCAGUUGGAGGGGAACCCUGGGCAACUUUUCAAUCCUGUGCAGCAAUUUUUCAGCACUCCGCAGAGUUAUGAUCUGACCCAUGAGCCUGUUACUUUUAGUAACAGUAUUUACGGGGUGGUGUGCGAGUUUGGCUGAGAAAGGGAAUUCAACUUGACGUUGUCAGAUAUGGGAUGGCAAAAUGGAACUGCUGUCUAAAAGUGAUCACCUGUUUGUAUUGUGGAUCUUGUAAACAACUUGAAUCCCAAGAAGAAAACCUGCAUUUUCUUAUUAAUUAUGCAGUGGCUUGUUAGACGCAUAGGUUUCUGUCAUGUCUUUCUCUUCUUUUUAACAAAUUUAUACUGAAAUGAAUAUCAUUAAGCUCCCUUAUGAUGAGCACAGCACUCAGUUCUAUUUGAUUCUUUCA